CUUUUUUUCCCGUAGCCUCUCUGUCUUCUAGCCGCCACCGCUGCAUCAUCUGAUUCCGGCCGCCGCCUCGACCUUCUGCCUCCGCAAGCCUCCUCGGCAAACCGUCGCUGCUGUUCCGACCGCCGCCUCGCUGCAGUUCCGACCGCCGCCUCAACCUUCUGCCUCCACAAACGCCUCCUCGACGAACCCUAGCGGCAGCUCCAUCCUCUGGUGCGGAAUCCAGCGGUCAUUGGGAUCAUAUUCGUGGCUCCUCCGACCUGCAGCGCGCCCUCUGUGUGGUCUCUCUGUCUCAUCAUGCUCCCGUUGGGCUUGGUUACUACGGGAUCGUGCUAUGGCUGCCCUGCCACCACUACGGCUGCCACCACUACGGUUGUGACCGAACCACGUCGACGGCACAGGAAUGUACUCCGCCCCCUAACUAUCUUAUUCUGCUUUGUGUUGGAGCGAUUCUUCUUGGGCUUAAAUUUCCUAGGUACAUAAGCCAUGGUUCUGGUGGGAGGAAUAGCCUAUGUUUACUGAGGCAUUCUAGCGUUAGUGCUAAAGUAUGAUGCAAAUUGUACUUGCUCAGUAUCUCCCAAAAUUCUUUCCAUUAGUACAUCCUCCAUGUGUGCUACAAUUUGAUCUGAUCCGACUGCUACCCAUGUGUCGUGCUGCCUAGAUGUGCUCAUCAGCGAAGCUAUGAAUGCGAACAAAUCUUCAAUUUACUCUGGGCUCAAUUGAACCCACACUCUGUUGAUGCAGAAUUAUGCAACCUUAAUUCAAUGUUUUUUUAUCUAUUCUGUGAAUUUUUUGCUCUUAAGCAUGAUUUAUUGUAUAUGGAUCACAUACCCCAUACGCAUCUUUUUUUCCCUUGAGUUUAUCAUUCUGUAGGCCAUAUAUGCAGAUAAGGUAAUUUUCUUAUGUCGGAAGAUGAACCAUGUGUAGAUUGUAUAAAAAUAAGCACGAUUUGUUCUUCACUAUUUUGAAAUUUACCGGUGGCCGUGUCUAGCUAGGUACGUUGAUUCCAUGGUAAUGCACAAAUUUUCUACAAUAUUAUGCUUUGGCUGGGUAGUCUAAUCGGAUAACGCCAAGUCAAUCCUGUGUUUAGACAUAAUUAAGUGGGUGCCUGUUAUGUAAAGGAGAUAUUGGUGUCCGAUUCUUGAAAAGUAGUACAAACAGUAAAUGUACAAGGCAAAAAAAUGAUCAUAGAAGGGAGGAUUUUGAACCAAAUAUACUGAUAUUAUAGAUUGUAUAGCAUCACCCCUUAAUUUCACUUAAAUAGAGGGAUGAAUACCAUUAGUAUUUACUUCUAGGGCUACCUCAUAAUUGCAUGCAUGUUCUAUGAGUGCAAACACUAUUAGGGACACCUGAAUCCCUCGGUGGCCAUCCUAUCUUAGCUUUCCUUUUUGCCGACAUUCUAAUUUAUUCUCCGUACUAUAGUUUCACGUCUCCAUGUUGCUCGGCAUAUAAUUCGGUGUCCAUUCUAUUCAAUUUUGAGAAAAAAAAGAUCUUCUGUUGGAUAGGUGAAUUGGAGUGUGCUAAUUUCAUUUGGAAAUUAGUGAAAACUACAUUGAGACAUGGUGCAAGUGGAAGUGGGGACAAUGUUUUCUGUUAUCCAAAUAAAUAUUUGAUUAUUGGUACAAUCAUGAUAGAAAACUUACUACCAUAUGUUGCAAUUUCAGUCUCCAACCUCCUUCCAAGAGAUCUGCUAAAUAUUAUAACGAAUAGUUGGUGUUUAUGUGUUAUAUACACAGAGUAAAGGCGAUAGCAAAAUUGUUGAGUUGAGCUAAAAGUUUGUUGCCAGUAGCACUUUCAAAAAGGUACAAAAUUUUAAGAUAAUUGAACCAUUGAAAUUGUCAUCAUGGAUAUUCAAAAGUAAUAAAGGUACUUUCUUGCAUUCCGGCUGAAAGGUAUUCUUGCGAGCAUACCAUGAUACAAGUUGAACACAUGAUUUCUGUACACUUUCUUUGUUAGCUUGAUGUGGAAUACACUGAGAAAUUAGCAAGUUUAUCUCAUACUACCAUGCUAUCAGAACAAACCCUUUAAGUUCAAAACUAUUCACUUAUUUUCGUGUAUUCUGUCAUUCCAAAAAAUCUUUUUAAAAUUUAGCUUCCAGCAAAAGCAUGCUGCAAAUUUAGCGCAUUAGCCAAUUGAUAGAAGUUGGAAUAAGAGUGUUAUUUGCUGAGAUCACCUGCAAGAGCCGACGUUUAAUAUUUUCAUCUUAUGAUUGUGAUGUUGUUCAUGGAUGACUGAUUACGCAACAAUUGUUCAUCGUGUAUUGCUAUGCACUUUGGGCACACUGCAUUUGGAACCUUUUCCAUAAAUAUGAUUAACAAUUCAACAUGAUGGUCGACAUGAUUUUAUGAUUAGUUAUUAGCAUUGUAAAGUUUUUUCUCUCAUGGUCUGUAGAUUGUCCUAUUUAGUCUACGGAUUAGGAAGCAUACAUUUGUCUGUAUUAGUUCUGAUUAUUUGAAGGUACGAAUAACAUACAUGUGAAUCUUUUUUUCAGUCUAAUCUUUACAUCUCCGAACGAUUGUCUAUUCUGCUUCUAAUCACGAUGAUGUCAAAAAUCAGUGUGCAAAGUGUGUGUGCACUGGGGAUGAAAUAUUAUAACGUAUUUAAUAUACAUGCAUGCUUACACAUCUGAUCUAUGUAUCACGACAAGAUGUGGUCGACUUGGACAACAUCGUUACUUCUGAUGGGAUAGGUACAUGUUGAACUAGCUCCUUUUGUACGCUCUUACUGUUAAGCUACUAAUUAUUCCAUAGAAUUUCUCUCAUCAUCUGCUACAUAGAAUCAUGAAUUGGCGUAAAAGUUAUUUAUGGUUACGUGCAAGAUUAAGGUCUCAACACGAUGUCUGUAGGCCAGCAUGUAAAUAUGUUCUAUAGUUUUAUAUGAAUCAUUGGUUUUUAUUCAUCGGGUUUUCUUUGCGUAUCUACUAAUUCGAUGUUUGCAUGUUUGGUUAUAUUGGGGAAAUGUUACUCAAACAUAUUAAUUUAUUUAAUUCUUUCGAAGAGGGGCUAUCCCCGGCCUCUGCAACAUAUGAUGCACACAUCCAUUUUAUUAAGGAUAAACAUAUUAAUCUAUUGUUGUGGUAUAUUAUUUCGUAUUCUUAUCAGUCACUUAAUAUUAAUAUCAUUAGCUCAUGAUGGAUAUAGUUUACAUCAUGAACAUCAGUGCAUCAAGAUACUAAUGAGUUUGAUGUAUUGUAUUUCAUAGUUUUCUUUUACUUGAUCUCAACAUGAUCUAAUAAGGAAACUCAUUUAGUCUGACAUGUAAAAUGCAAGAAGGCACAAAAACUCAUUUUCUGCACUUAAGUUCCCAAAUAUCAGAAGUUUAACAUGUGAAACGCUCACAAAAAACUCUCCUGCUAGCACAGAUCAUAUCUUAGCAAAGAACCAGUAGCAACGUCAGCUCCAUUUAGUGUGCUGAUGACAUGUAUGUAUCCAUUGAUAUGGUUGACACUCACCGCAGUUAAUUGUUCCUCCACAUUAUAUAUGUACCAAUGUGACUAUAGUUUUAAAUAGAUGAAGUCCGUGAACAUCAUAUUUCAUAUAGGCCUCAUGGCGAUUUACAACAUUUCUAUAUUUUUCUUGUGUUUGGCUGUUAUUUUCUGAAAGAUGGUAGAAUUGUCUAUCAGAUCUUUCUCUUUCUCUCCAUGAUACAUGAUUUGGUUAAUUGUUUGACUAAAGGAUUUAUAGGGAAGAAAUGAUUUAAGGUGGGGCCUGUCAUUCGUUCCAAAUUGUAUAACUUGGUAUCUUCCAGUGGAUGGAUAAUGAAACAACAGAUGUAAGAAUACAUAUGCGUAUAUAUAAGCAUAACUUUUGAAUUUAUAUUUGAGCUCAUAGGUUAUUACUUAUCUUGAUAUAUGCCUGAAUUGGUGCUAUGCUGGUAUAAUUUGAUGUAAAUUUAUAUUCCCUUCUAUUCACUGAAGGGCUUACUAGGUAGGUAAUUCAUUUGACAUAUGCCUUGGGUUAAGCAUUCAAAUUGUGUUUGUUUGUAGGUUCAUUGAUGGUAGCAGUGUGAAAAUAAUAGUUGAAAAAAACUACUCCAUUUUAGAUGUCAUUGCAGUUCAAAUGAUUUAGUUCGCACUAACAUGGAGAAUAGUUAGGCCUCAAAUUUAAUUGCGGGAGUAACUACAUGUGCUUCACGGGCCUUAGUAUCAUUUCAUAUUUGGGACGGCAAUUUCAGGUCAGCUGCUCCUUCUAUGAGGUUUAUCGUAAGAAAAGUAUGCCGAUUCGAUGUACUACCUCCUUUUGGGUUUACGAGACACGCAUGUAUUUUGAGUUCAAGUAUUACCAUAGACUAGACAAGUAGUAUAGAUUACCAUCGAUUAUACAAGCAGUAUAAGACCCAAUAAAAUUGGAUAAAAGUUACUUCAUAUCCCAUAGAUCAUUUGCAUCCAUAAAAAAUAGGCAUGGUCUGCCUAGAAAAAUAAUUGACCUCUACAAAUAUUCGAAGGAUAACAUUCUUCUUACAAAGUAUCGCUCUAUUGUUAUUGAAUUUUAUCAUCGACGUGUUUGUUCAUUUCUCACUUUUCCUUUAUUAAUUUAUAUUUUACAAUGGCCAACCAAUGCUACUGAAACAUUACUUUACGUUUUUCAACAAAAUGGAGGUGCCCUGGGCUGAACUCAUUUGGGAUACAUACUAUGGUUCUUCGGCACCCCAAGCCACUAAGGCCUGUGGCUCUUUCUGGUGGCGCGAUGUGUUAAAAUUAUAUGACAAAUUUUGUCAGCUUUUUGUCCCAAAGGUUCAUUCUGGUGAACCUGUGCUUUUCUGGCUUGAUCAUUGGCAACUCCAGGGAAGAAAUACUCCCAUGAAAGAUCGUUGCCCCCGACUGCACUCUUUCGUGUUGGAUGACAUGCUUACUGUCAAACCCUCGAUGAUCUACCAUCCAUGGUCAGUAACCUGCACCUCCCUCUCUCCACUGAAGCCCGUCAUGAGUUGAUUCAGUUGGAGUCCAUCCUGUCAUCGAUAUCUAUCAAUGCUAAGGGCAAGGACAUUUUCCACUGGCCAACCAAAACUGGUGAAUUUUGAUCCAAGGUAUAUUAUAACUUUGCUCAUAGGCACAUUACUGUGGAUCCAAUUGUUAAGUGUAUAUGGAAGUGUUCCUGCACGCUCAAGAUCAAAGUCUUUGGUUGGCUACUCCUGGUGGAUAGGCUUAACACAAGAGAUAUGAUGCAAAGCCGACAUUGGACUAUGCAAGAUGAUACUUGUGGUGUUUGCCAGACUCUCACACAUGAGGAUCGAGCACAUAUGUUCUUUUUUUUAACUUCAGCCAGUUGGAAUUAUCUUGGGAUUACUUGGGCAUCAUAACCUAAUCAGUCAACCUAUUUGAUGGCGGCAGUAGCAAGGAAGGGUUUUGAUAGACCCUUCUUUAUUGAGGUGGUUUUUAAUGCCACUUGGAACAUCUGGACUCAGAGGAAUGGCAAAAAUCUUUAGAAAUGAGAGGCCAAGUUUUGGGGCUUGGAGAAGAAACUUUGUACAUGAUCUGUCUCUGUUAGCUCAUAGACUCAAAUGUAAUUAUAGGGAUAGCCUUCUAUCUUGGAUCUCUUCUCUUCCAUAGUUGGGUUUUUGUAAGCAUUACACCCCUCCCUUCUCUCUAUAUAUUGUACACUCUUUUUGUGCGGCUCUUGCCUUGCACUACAUAGUGAAAAAAUGGGAAUCUUCUAAGAUGA